rnacentral:tRNA from 1 species
GGGGGAGUGGCGGAACCGGCAGACGCGCACGGCUUAGGACCGUGUGCCGCAAGGCAUGGGGGUUCGAGUCCCCCCUUCCCCACCA